AGGACAUGGACCUCAACAACAUAAUUAGGAGGGCAGGAGAUCUGAGAGUACCGAGGCUCUGCAGAAGGCUGUGUAAACAUACACAGUCAGGUGUGUUUCCUGUGCCGUGUUCAUACAGUCUGUGACCAGAUGCCACGUGUCAGGCCAGACAAACGACCACAGUGCCAAGAUCCCUCCCUGGCCUGGAGCACACCAAUUGAGCUGGAUUGGCUGCCUCUGCCUCCUGAGAACUGGUGUCAGUGGCGUACACCACCACUCCUGGAUGUUCACCUAUGAUUUGUAUUCGUUUUGAAGAACUCUCACCAGAAUACUGAGCGGCUGGCUGCAAACUGCCCGAAUUUCUUCUUUGGUCUUUGUAGUCCGGGGGUGGCCUUGUCAGGUGUCGGUUCAUCUGAUCCUGAGGGGAAAGUUUCUCCUUGAAAACACAAACGAAAACAUUGAAUUGAGUGAACAUUU